rnacentral:rRNA from 1 species
GGGUUGUGAGGUUAAGCGACUAAGCGUACACGGUGGAUGCCCUGGCAGUCAGAGGCGAUGAAGGGCGUGCUAAUCUGCGAUAAGCGCCGGUAAGGUGAUAUGAACCGUUAUAACCGGCGAUACCCGAAUGGGGAAACCCAGUGUGAUUCGUCACACUAUCAUUAACUGAAUCCAUAGGUUAAUGAGGCGAACCGGGGGAACUGAAACAUCUAAGUACCCCGAGGAAAAGAAAUCAACCGAGAUUCCCCCAGUAGCGGCGAGCGAACGGGGAGGAGCCCAGAGCCUGAAUCAGCAUGUGUGUUAGUGGAAGCGUCUGGAAAGGCGCGCGAUACAGGGUGACAGCCCCGUACACAAAAGCGCAUGUGCUGUGAGCUCGAUGAGUAGGGCGGGACACGUGGUAUCCUGUCUGAAUAUGGGGGGACCAUCCUCCAAGGCUAAAUACUCCUGACUGACCGAUAGUGAACCAGUACCGUGAGGGAAAGGCGAAAAGAACCCCGGCGAGGGGAGUGAAAAAGAACCUGAAACCGUGUACGUACAAGCAGUGGGAGCACCCGUUUGGCGUGUGACUGCGUACCUUUUGUAUAAUGGGUCAGCGACUUAUAUUCUGUAGCAAGGUUAACCGAAUAGGGGAGCCGGAGGGAAACCGAGUCUUAACCGGGCGUUAAGUUGCAGGGUAUAGACCCGAAACCCGGUGAUCUAGCCAUGGGCAGGUUGAAGGUUGGGUAACACUAACUGGAGGACCGAACCGACUAAUGUUGAAAAAUUAGCGGAUGACCUGUGGCUGGGGGUGAAAGGCCAAUCAAACCGGGAGAUAGCUGGUUCUCCCCGAAAGCUAUUUAGGUAGCGCCUCGUGAAUUCAUCUCCGGGGGUAGAGCACUGUUUCGGCUAGGGGGCCAUCCCGGCUUACCAACCCGAUGCAAACUGCGAAUACCGGAGAAUGUUAUCACGGGAGACACACGGCGGGUGCUAACGUCCGUCGUGAAGAGGGAAACAACCCAGACCGCCAGCUAAGGUCCCAAAGUCAUGGUUAAGUGGGAAACGAUGUGGGAAGGCCCAGACAGCCAGGAUGUUGGCUUAGAAGCAGCCAUCAUUUAAAGAAAGCGUAAUAGCUCACUGGUCGAGUCGGCCUGCGCGGAAGAUGUAACGGGGCUAAAC